UACGGAGGAUGCAAGCGUUAUCCGGAAUGAUUGGGCGUAAAGCGUCCGCAGGUGGCUAUGUAAGUCUGCUGUUAAAGAGUGAGGCUCAACCUCAUAAGAGCAGUGGAAACUACAUGGCUAGAGUGCGUUCGGGGCAGAGGGAAUUCCUGGUGUAGCGGUGAAAUGCGUAGAGAUCAGGAAGAACACCGGUGGCGAAAGCGCUCUGCCAGGCCGCAACUGACACUCAUGGACGAAAGCUAGGGGAGCGAAUGGG
rnacentral:rRNA from 1 species